rnacentral:rRNA from 1 species
UACGAAGGGGGCUAGCGUUGUUCGGAAUCACUGGGCGUAAAGCGCACGUAGGCGGAUCUUUAAGUCAGGGGUGAAAUCCCGAGGCUCAACCUCGGAACUGCCUUUGAUACUGGGGAUCUCGAGUCCGGAAGAGGUGAGUGGAACUCCGAGUGUAGAGGUGAAAUUCGUAGAUAUUCGCAAGAACACCAGUGGCGAAGGCGGCUCACUGGCCCGGUACUGACGCUGAGGUGCGAAAGCGUGGGGAGCAAACAGG